GAUGAACGCUGGCGGCGUGCUUAACACAUGCAAGUCGAACGGAAAGGCCUUGUGCUUGCACAAGGUACUCGAGUGGCGAACAGGUGAGUAACACGUGGGUGAUCUGCCCUGCACUGUGGGAUAAGCCCGGGAAACUGGGUCUAAUACCAUAUAGGACCACUUCUUGGAUGUUGUGGUGGAAAGCUUUUGCGGUGUGGGAUGAGCCUGCGGCCUAUCAGCUUGUUGGUGGGGUAAUGGCCUACCAAGGCGGCGACGGGUAUCCGGCCUGAGAGGGUGUACGGACACGUUGGGACUGAGAUACGGCCCAGACUCCUACGGGAGGCAGCAGUGGGGAAUAUUGCACAAUGGGCGCAAGCCUGAUGCAGCGACGCCGCGUGGGGGAUGACGGCCUUCGGGUUGUAAACUCCUUUCGCUAUCGACGAAGCCACCUUGGGUGGUGACGGUAGGUAGAUAAGAAGCACCGGCUAACUACGUGCCAGCCGCCGCGGUAA
rnacentral:rRNA from 1 species